AUUGAACGCUGGCGGCAUGCCUUACACAUGCAAGUCGAACGGUAACGGGCCUUCGGGUGCCGACGAGUGGCGAACGGGUGAGUAAUACAUCGGAACGUGCCCGAUCGUGGGGGAUAACGAGGCGAAGGCUUUGCUAAUACCGCAUACGAUCUACGGAUGACAGCAGGGGACCGCAAGGCCUUGCGCGGACGGAGCGGCCGAUGGCAGAUUAGGUAGUUGGUGGGAUAAAAGCUUACCAAGCCGACGAUCUGUAGCUGGUCUGAGAGGAUGAUCAGCCACACUGGGACUGAGACACGGCCCAGACUCCUACGGGAGGCAGCAGUGGGGAAUUUUGGACAAUGGGCGCAAGCCUGAUCCAGCCAUGCCGCGUGCAGGAUGAAGGCCUUCGGGUUGUAAACUGCUUUUGUACGGAACGAAAAGCCUUCUUUUAAUACAGGAGGGUCAUGACGGUACCGUAAGAAUAAGCACCGGCUAACUACGUG
rnacentral:rRNA from 1 species